rnacentral:rRNA from 1 species
AUUGAACGCUGGCGGCAGGCUUAACACAUGCAAGUCGAGCGGAGAUGAGGUGCUUGCACUUUAUCUUAGCGGCGGACGGGUGAGUAAUACUUAGGAAUCUGCCUAUUAGUGGGGGACAACAUCUCGAAAGGGAUGCUAAUACCGCAUACGCCCUACGGGGGAAAGCAGGGGAUCACUUGUGACCUUGCGCUAAUAGAUGAAGCCUAAGUCAGAUUAGCUAGUUGGUGGGGUAAAGGCCUACCAAGGCGACGAUCUGUAACGGGUCUGAGAGGAUGAUCCGUCACACUGGGACUGAGACACGGCCCAGACUCCUACGGGAGGCAGCAGUGGGGAAUAUUGGACAAUGGGGGGAACCCUGAUCCAGCCAUGCCGCGUGUGUGAAGAAGGCCUUUUGGUUGUAAAGCACUUUAAGCGAGGAGGAGGCUACUUAGAUUAAUACUCUAAGAUAGUGGACGUUACUCGCAGAAUAAGCACCGGCUAACUCUGUGCCAGCAGCCGCGGUAAUACAGAGGGUGCAAGCGUUAAUCGGAUUUACUGGGCGUAAAGGGUACGUAGGUGGUCUUUUAAGUCGGAUGUGAAAUCCCUGAGCUUAACUUAGGAAUUGCAUUCGAUACUGAAAGACUAGAGUAUGGGAGAGGAUGGUAGAAUUCCAGGUGUAGCGGUGAAAUGCGUAGAGAUCUGGAGGAAUACCGAUGGCGAACGCAGCCAUCUGGCCUAAUACUGACACUGAGGUACGAAAGCAUGGGGAGCAAACAGGAUUAGAUACCUGGUAGUC